rnacentral:rRNA from 1 species
GGCAGAGGGUGCAAACGUUGUUCGGAAUUACUGGGCAUAAAGCGCACGUAGGUGGUCCACUAAGUCGAGUGUGAAAUCCCCCGGCUCAACCGGGGAAUUGCGCUCGAUACUGGCGGGCUAGAGGUCGAUAGGGGUGAGCGGAACUCCAGGUGGAGCGGUGAAAUGCGUAGAUAUCUGGAGGAACACCGGUGGCGAAAGCGGCUCACUGGAUCGAAA